rnacentral:rRNA from 1 species
AUUGAACGCUGGCGGCAGGCCUAACACAUGCAAGUCGAGCGAGCGGCGGACGGGUGAGUAAUGUAUGGGGAUCGGCGUGAUGGAGGGGGAUAACUAAUGGAAACGGUAGCUAAUACCGCAUAACAUAAGAUGAACCCAUAUGGGAUUAGCUUGUAGGUGAGGUAACGGCUCACCUAGGCGAAGAUCCCUAGCUGGUCUGAGAGGAUGAUCAGCCACACUGGGACGGAGACACGGCCCAGACUCCUACGGUAGGCAGCAGUGGGGAAUAUUGCACAAUGGGCGCAAGCCUGAUGCAGCCAUGCCGCGUGUAUGAAGAAGGCCUUCGGGUUGUAAAGUACUUUCAGUCGGGAGGCGUUACCGACAGAAGAAGCACCGGCUAACUCCGUGCCAGCAGCCGCGGUAAUAC